rfam:Chaetomium globosum CBS 148.51 scaffold_5 genomic scaffold, whole genome shotgun sequence.
GGCAAGGUGGCCGAGCGGUCUAAGGCGCCAGGUUCAGGCCCACCUGAAUUUAUAGAUCCCACAAGAUUUCCUGGUCUCAGUAAUGGGGCGUGAGUUCGAAUCUCACCCUUGUCA